UUAUCUGAACCUUCGGGGGACGAUAACGGCGUCGAGCGGCGGACGGGUGAGUAAUGCCUAGGAAAUUGCCCUGRUGUGGGGGAUAACCAUUGGAAACGAUGGCUAAUACCGCAUAAUACCUUCGGGUCAAAGAGGGGGACCUUCGGGCCUCUCGCGUCAGGAUAUGCCUAGGUGGGAUUAGCUAGUUGGUGAGGUAAUGGCUCACCAAGGCGACGAUCCCUAGCUGGUCUGAGAGGAUGAUCAGCCACACUGGAACUGAGACACGGUCCAGACUCCUACGGGAGGCAGCAGUGGGGAAUAUUGCACAAUGGGCGCAAGCCUGAUGCAGCCAUGCCGCGUGUGUGAAGAAGGCCUUCGGGUUGUAAAGCACUUUCAGUCGUGAGGAAGGUAGUGUAGUUAAUAGCUGCAUUAUUUGACGUUAGCGACAGAAGAAGCACCGGCUAACUCCGUGCCAGCAGCCGCGGUAAUACGGAGGGUGCGAGCGUUAAUCGGAAUUACUGGGCGUAAAGCGCAUGCAGGUGGUUUGUUAAGUCAGAUGUGAAAGCCCGGGGCUCAACCUCGGAAUAGCAUUUGAAACUGGCAGACUAGAGUACUGUAGAGGGGGGUAGAAUUUCAGGUGUAGCGGUGAAAUGCGUAGAGAUCUGAAGGAAUACCGGUGGCGAAGGCGGCCCCCUGGACAGAUACUGACACUCAGAUGCGAAAGCGUGGGGAGCAAACAGGAUUAGAUACCCUGGUAGUCCACGCCGUAAACGAUGUCUACUUGGAGGUUGUGGCCUUGAGCCGUGGCUUUCGGAGCUAACGCGUUAAGUAGACCGCCUGGGGAGUACGGUCGCAAGAUUAAAACUCAA
rnacentral:rRNA from 1 species